CGGACGGGUGAGUAACGCGUGGGUAACCUGCCUUAUACUGGGGGAUAACAGCCAGAAAUGACUGCUAAUACCGCAUAAGCGCACAGAACCGCAUGGUUCGGUGUGAAAAACUCCGGUGGUAUAAGAUGGACCCGCGUUGGAUUAGCUAGUUGGCAGGGCAGCGGCCUACCAAGGCGACGAUCCAUAGCCGGCCUGAGAGGGUGAACGGCCACAUUGGGACUGAGACACGGCCCAG
rnacentral:rRNA from 2 species